rnacentral:lncRNA from 14 species
AUGAACAGAGGUUUAAGAAGCACUUGUCAAGCAGGCAGCUCAACUCUACCUCUUGCUGAUGGACCAAAAAUGGUUACUUCUUCUGGUGAUAAAAUUCCAAAUGAGAAGUAGCCCUCAGAAGAACACUAUCUCCUCUUCAGAUUGCAUGUUUUCCUGCCAGUAAAGUAAGUCUGAUUCCUUCUCCUUUUUUUUUUUUUCUCUGAUUUUGUUUUUUUUUUUCUCGGUUUUGGUAACCUGGGAAAUACUUCCUUGUUGAUCAUGACCACCUCAGACAGGAUGUCUUCUGCCAGUGCACUGGGACUGUAAACUACACAGGUAAAAUACACCAGCACUUGUGAUUAUGCAGCCUAUUUCUAGAAUUUUU